UAAAAGGGUAUCUGCCAUGACUGGCACAGGGAGGGCAGAUGCCAAUCUGCUCACCCUGCGGAAUCGACAUCAAGAGAUUUCGGAUACAUAAUUUUUACCACCAGGGACUGCCGAUGACCGACUGUCUUGGCGUCCCA